UGGGGAAUUUUGGACAAUGGGCGCAAGCCUGAUCCAGCAAUGCCGCGUGCAGGAUGAAGGCCUUCGGGUUGUAAACUGCUUUUGUACGGAACGAAACGGCUCCUUUUAAUACAAGGGGCUAAUGACGGUACCGUAAGAAUAAGCACCGGCUAACUACGUGCCAGCAGCCGCGGUAAUACGUAGGGUGCGAGCGUUAAUCGGAAUUACUGGGCGUAAAGCGUGCGCAGGCGGUUCGGAAAGAGAGGUGUGAAAUCCCAGGGCUUAACCUUGGAACUGCACUUUUAACUCCCGAGCUAGAGUAUGUCAGAGGGGGGUGGAAUUCCUGGUGUAGCGGUGGAAUGCGCAGAUAUCAGGAGGAACACCGAUGGCGAAGGCAGGUCUCUGGGCCAAUACUGACACUGAGGAGCGAAAGCGUGGGGAGCGAACAGG
rnacentral:rRNA from 1 species